GGAGGGUGCAAGCGUUAAUCGGAAUUACUGGGCGUAAAGCGCACGCAGGCGGUUUGUUAAGUCAGAUGUGAAAUCCCCGGGCUCAACCUGGGAACUGCAUCUGAUACUGGCAAGCUUGAGUCUCGUAGAGGGGGGUAGAAUUCCAGGUGUAGCGGUGAAAUGCGUAGAGAUCUGGAGGAAUACCGGUGGCGAAGGCGGCCCCCUGGACGAAGACUGACGCUCAGGCGCGAAAGCGUGGGGAGCAAGCAGGACUAGAUACCCUGGUAGUCCACGCCGUAAACGAUGUCGACUUGGAGGUUGUGCCCCUUGAGGCGUGGCUUCCGGAGCUAACGCGUUAAGUCGACCGCCUGGGGAGUACGGCCGCAAGGUUA
rnacentral:rRNA from 1 species